rnacentral:lncRNA from 10 species
CUCAGCCUUGCCUGCCUGAUGGGCUGAGAUGGAUGGGCUGCCGGCCAUGUGCCUGAGGCCCUCGUCUUUGCCCCUCCCUGGGGUCUGUGGAGGGGCUCGGGGGCACAGCCUGGGGAAAAGCAGGAAGGCCUCGCUUUCUGGAGAGGCUUAGAGCUGGGACAUUGGUGGGGGUGGGGGGAUCCAAAACUGUAGGUGUCCCCAUCCAGAAACUCCCCUACCCACUCUACCCCCCACAUCCCCCAUGGAACAGAAUAAGCCCAGAGACUGGCCAUAGCCUGCUCAGUUUUCUUGGAAAUGCCUGGAGGGGAGGACUCUGCAGAAUGACUUACUUGGACCCCAGCUGAGCCAGGACCUCAUCUGAGCAGAUGACCUUUUCUCUCCUGACUGUCUCCCCUGGUGAGAUUUUUUGACAGGUGGCCCAUCUGUCCUCCAGCAUCUUCAUGGUCAUCAACUGGGAGGAGCUGAAUGGGGCGUUUGAUUUGCAAAUGUUAGGGGUGUUCUCUGCCCAGCUGGGAAGUGGGCCGAGUCCCAGCUGGACUGCAGCAUGGUUGCAUGGGGACGCGGGUAUGGUGCCGUGUCACCCAAGACACAGGAUGACUCCCAUUUCAGAGCUGAGCCCGAUGUCGAAGCCUCUGCCUUCUGCUCUCGGUCUGCAGAUCUCAGGCCUCUCUUCUGUGGUGGAAGGUAAAUAUCCCAAGAAAAACAAACCUUGGCUGCAGCUGUCUUCAGGGAUCUGUGUACUUUCAAGAUAAGGUGAGUUGCCCCAAUCAUUUUAUGAUCCUAAUUGUUGGGGAACAGGAUAUUCAUCCUCAAACACAUCACCGCGGCCCUCCCAGCUUCCUUCUGUGCUGAUUAAAAUGAAGCCGUUUGCUUAGGAAACCCCCCAAACCUGUGGCAUUGAUAGUCAUUUUUUUUUUCUCUCCCUAGAAAACCUAAUUUCCAGAGGGUAUGCCUUACCACAGCAGGCCUCCACGUGGCUUACACAAAUAAUGCAAAAAUCUCCAACAACCCCUACCAAGAACUUACUCCUGGUGCAUGGCCUGCAUUUUAUUUUAUUUUGUUUUAUUUUAUUAAAUUU